rnacentral:rRNA from 1 species
AGUGAACGCUGGCGGUAGGCCUAACACAUGCAAGUCGAACGGCAGCACAGUAAGAGCUUGCUCUUACGGGUGGCGAGUGGCGGACGGGUGAGGAAUACAUCGGAAUCUACUUUUUCGUGGGGGAUAACGUAGGGAAACUUACGCUAAUACCGCAUACGACCUACGGGUGAAAGUAGGGGAUCUUCGGACCUUGCGCGAUUGAAUGAGCCGAUGUCGGAUUAGCUAGUUGGCGGGGUAAAGGCCCACCAAGGCGACGAUCCGUGGCUGGUCUGAGAGGAUGAUCAGCCACACUGGAACUGAGACACGGUCCAGACUCCUACGGGAGGCAGCAGUGGGGAAUAUUGGACAAUGGGCGCAAGCCUGAUCCAGCCAUACCGCGUGGGUGAAGAAGGCCUUCGGGUUGUAAAGCCCUUUUGUUGGGAAAGAAAAGCAGCAGGUUAAUACCCCGCUGUUCUGACGGUACCCAAAGAAUAAGCACCGGCUAACUUCGUG